UAAUGAAUGUAGCAUGGUACUGUACUCGGAAACUGAACUUGUGAUCGACAUGUCUGCCAUCUCUGAUUUCCCUGAUGAGACGGCCUGGUUUAGAUCCACACUC
rfam:Capsella rubella cultivar Monte Gargano unplaced genomic scaffold scaffold_6, whole genome shotgun sequence.